rnacentral:rRNA from 1 species
UACGGAGGGUGCGAGCGUUAUUCGGAAUUACUGGGCGUAAAGCGCGCGUAGGCGGCUUUGCAAGUCGGGUGUGAAAUCCCCAGGCUUAACCUGGGAACUGCAUUCGAGACUGCAUUGCUAGAGUAUGGGAGAGGGAAGUGGAAUUUCAGGUGUAGCGGUGAAAUGCGUAGAUAUCUGAAGGAACAUCAGUGGCGAAAGCGACUUCCUGGACCAAUACUGACGCUCAUGUGCGAAAGCGUGGGGAGCAAACAGG